rnacentral:rRNA from 1 species
ACAUAAAAACUUUUAAUUGAAGAGUUUGAUCAUGGCUCAGAUUGAACGCUGGCGGCAGGCCUAACACAUGCAAGUCGAGCGGAAACGAAGC